rnacentral:lncRNA from 1 species
AUUUUAAGUUAAAAAAAUAUAUAUCGUAAAACUAAAAUGAGAAAAUAAAAACAAAUGUCAUAUGUUAUCGAUUUAGCAAACCCUAAGAUUGUCAACACUCACCAGCCGCUUGCCGCUCGCCGGCGCUCAUUGCUCUUCGGCUGCUCGUCGCUCGUCACUCAUCAUUUGCCGCUCAUCUCUUCUCUUCUCUUUUCUCUCUGGUCACUGAGGAAAAGAAACAAGUGGAGGCGAACCUGCGUGUAUGUAAAUCAAAUCUCUCUCUUUUUCUUCACUUGCACUCCCCAAAUUUUGUUUGAUUCAUUGCAUUUGAUCUAUAGUAAUUGAUAAUGGAUUCUUAGUGUAGUGUCUCAAAAUACCGACGAAACUAUGUGUUUCAAUUGUGAUAGAACUUUACAUUCCAUGUUGACUCUCAAACAUUCUCCCGGCUUAGAGAUUUACAAUUUGUGUUUUUUUAUUUAUUUUUUUUCUUUUUAUUUGAUUAAUUUUGGGUUUUAAAAUUGUUCAAUUUCAAGUAUUAUAGGCGAUUUGAGUUGUCAUUUUAGCAUGAUGACAUUGUUGAUUGCAAGCAUCCUUAAACUUUAAAAAAAGAAUUCCAUCCUUACCUCCUAAAGACUUUUUGCUGUUAUGUUUUCUUAGAGUAGAUAAUAAGCUCUCGUUUUGUUGUUGAUUUUCAAGUUUAACAAUAAAGAAAUCAAUAUUUAAGGUUUUAUCAUAGUAUAAGCCCUGCUAAUGUCACUGACAUGCGCUACUAAUCAUACUUAUUGACUCAUUUUUUUACUGCUUAAGUCAAUAUUUGAAAAAAGGAACCAUGAUUGAAUUUUGAAAACAACAUGAACUUGCAUUUCAUGGAAAUCUUUUAAUGGGUCAAGUGGUAAGCCUGUUUCCACAUAAAAUUAUUUGAAAAAAGGAUGGUCAUGGUAGAAGUGAUUGUUACAAGAUGCUAACAAAAACGCAAUAUUCUAUAAUAGAAGACAAGACUUGACUUCCAAAGUGGCAACUUUUUUCUUAUUGAGAGUUUUAUAUUUUAAAUUGAAAAUUACUAGUUAAUUAUGCGUGUAGGUUUUUCAGGAAUUCACCAUAUAAAGUGACAUCCUACUUGGGAAAACCUAAACAAGUACUUGUUCAUUGUUAUUGAACCACUUACCCAGUUGUCCAAAUAUGAAGUUAUUAAUUUGUUAAUCCUGAAUUCGGUUAUUCAAAAUGUGAAUUUUAUUUUAACUUGUUUGAAACUUUCUUGUUUUGUUCUUAUUCGUAAAAACAUUAAUAAUUGUAUUUUAGUAGCUAUCAACUUUUGAUCCUCUACCUUAACUAUAUUCUUGUGAUAACCGCGAGAAGGGCAUCUUAGCAUUUCCAUAUUGACAGCAGUCCGAAAGUAAACUCCAUGUUUCCAAAUUCCAAUCCUAGCAUUUUAUUUUAUAUUGAAUUUUGAGGAAAUUAAUCAACUUCUUAUGAUUUAUGGGUUCUACUCAUUGGUUAUUUUUUUUUUAAUUUAGUUUGCUUGAUUGAAAAUUCAGUUAUUUUUAUUGGUUCUGGAAGUUUAUAUUUCCUUCAAUUGCAUUGUUUUCAAUUACUUUUUUUUUUUUGAAAAGAGAUUUCCAUUAAACUAAAGAAGAAAAGAGAUACAUCACUUGUGAAGGGUAUGACCCUUUCCACACAACAUUCUCGCACUUCUCUAAAGCUAGUUUAGCUAAAGAGUGGGCAAUAACAUUACAAGAUUUAGUCGUGUAUUUAAAGCUAACACGUUCGAAGCUUUCCGUUAGAUUCUGAAUUUCUGACACAACCCAAUAGAUCUCUGAUCUGCUGCCCUGCUUGUUGUUAACUAAAUUGACCACCUUGAGAAUCUGAUUCCAUGAUGACAGCUUUCAUGUUGGCCUCUCUCGCCACUAACAUACCCCAUUCCAUGGCUUCUGCUUCUGCAUAAGAAACAUCUCUAUGAAACUUAGCAACCUUGAUAGCAGCUGCUGUAACAUGCCUCAAAACAUUUCUGAUUACUGCCCCCAGCCCUACAAUGUUCUUUUCAAAGCAAAUGGUUGCAUCAGUGUUUACUUUUACAAAACCAGCUUGAGGGGGAUUCCAUUUCUGGGGGGGUGCUUUCUGCUCUGUUUCACUGCAGGCCUCAUCUGGAGAAUGCACCCUCUUAUAAGCAGCAAUCAAAGCUUUAGCUUUAGCUACCAUGAUUUGGGGGGUUUCCCUUUUCCCUUUGAAGAUCAUCUGAUUUCUAGCAUUCCAUUUAACCCAGAAAAUUGUUACCAACAGCUCCAGGUUGUCUCUGUUUCUCAUCAUUUUCAUAGCAUGCAGUAUGCUUAGAAUAUCUUGACUGUGAGCUGCACGAAUGUCAUCAUCAAAAUGGAUUAGCUUCCACACCUUCUCAGCCGAUUUGCAAGCUACUAGAGCAUGAAAGACAUUUUCUAUUCCCAUUUUACAGACUUGGCAAGUGGGAUCCUGGAUUAUUUUUUUCCUCCACAGAUUCUCAGCUGAUGGGAGUUGGUUUUUGGCUGCUCUCCAAGCAAAAAUUCUGAUCUUUUGAGGCAAAGCAAGGGACCAAAUAAUAUUCCACUCAUUUUUGGAAACCACUGAGCUUGAAGCCAUGGCUGGAAAUUUCAUUUGGAGAGCUGUCUGGUAUCCACUUCUAACCGAGAAUUGGCCAUUUUUUCCAUAAUGCCAAAUCAACUCAUCCUCCCUUGGACUUCGAGGCAGGGGAAUCUUAGCAAUUAAAUCAGCAUCCAUUUGGUCAAAAUGCUCAUAAAUCCUCUUUUCAUCCCAGCAGUUUGCCUCAGUUAUUAAUUCCGAGACCAUAGCAUCAGGGGGCAAAGAUGGCUUAACUAUUGGUUGGAAAGUUGAAGCCCGUGGGAUCCAAUUAGCCUUAUGAACAUGAAUUUUCUGACCAUUGCCAACUCUCCACCUAAAGCCCGCACAAAUAAUUUUCCUCCCCCACAGAAGACUUCUCCAAAUAUAUGAGGGGUUUGAGCCGAGUUUAGCAGCCAAGAAAGUUUUUGACUGGAAAUAUUUAGCUUGCAGGACCCUUGCCACCAGCGAAUCUGGACAUUGCUGAAUCCUCCAGCCUUGCUUUGCUAGAAGAGCUCGGUUAAAACUUGAGAAGUCACGAAAUCCCAUCCCUCCCAAACACUUGGCUUGGCUCAGUUUUUCCCACUUCGCCCAGUGAAUACUCCGUCCUUCCCUCUUGGAGCCCCACCAAAACUUUGCCACCAUCUUUUGAAUAUCAUCACAAACGACCCCUGGAAUUUUAAAGACGCUCAUUGCAUAGGCUGGGAUAGCUUGAACAGCCGCUUUGAUUAAGACUUCUUUCCCUCCGCAAGAAAAGAAUUUAUGCUGCCAGCUUAAGAGCUUAUUAGCAACCUUCAGCUUGAUGUCAUUGAAAAAGCUGCUUCUCUUUCUCCUGAUCAUCGAUGGCAAGCCUAGAUAUUUCUCAUGUCUCGACACAAUAUUGAGCUGAAAUAGAUUCCCAAUAGCCUCAGCUUGAUCUUGCUAUACAUUGCCACUGAUAAAAAAGGAAGAUUUCUCGAAGUUAAAAAUUUGGCCAGAAGUUGUGGAGUAACACUCAAGGAUCAUCUUCAAGUUGUGACAGUCGGCCAUGGAGGCUCUGCUGAAGACCAAGCUGUCAUCAGCAAAAAGGAGGUGCGAAAUCUUCAGAUUACUUCCAAAAGAUAGCCCAUGAAUGAGCUGUUGUUGCUCAGCUUGCUGCAGCAAAGAUGAAAAGGCCUCUGCACAUGUAAUAAACAAAUAUGGGGAGAGGGGGCAUCCUUGACGUAAGCCCCUUUGAGGUUUAAUUAAGCCUUUCACUGCACCAUUUAUUAACACUGAAAAUGAAACCGAACUAAUGCACCUCAUAAUCAAGCUAAUCCAUUGCUGCGAGAAGCCUAAUUUUUCCAAAGUUUGCUCUAAGAAAUUCCAUUCCAAUCUAUCAUAAGCUUUACUAACAUCAAGCUUUAAGGCAAUUAAUCCAUUUCGCUUGCUUUUACAAUGCCUAAUUUUGUGCAAACAUUCAUAGCCAACUAUUAUAUUGUCAGUGAUCAGCCUAUUGGGAAUGAAGGCACUUUGCGACGGAGAGAUGAUUUUGUGCAAAACUUGCUUAAAUCUAUUAGCAACUGUUUUAGCAACAAUUCUAUAGCUGACAUUGCACAAACUAAUAGGCCUAAAAUCUGUCACUUUCCUAGGCUUUCCGAUUUUUGGUAUCAAAGCAAUGUAAGUGUGGUUUAGAGGGCCUAUGGUACCUUGAGAAUUAAGGAUAUGCAGACAAGUGGUGAGCACUCCCUCCUUGACCGUAUGCCAAUGCUUUUGGUAAAACACGGCCCCGGAGCCUUUGUUGGGCACAUUUGGCUCAGCGCUUCCAACACUUCCUCGGCUGUAAAAGGUGCCCCCAAACUCUCAUUCAUACUGGCUGAAACUCUUGGAGUUAUUCCUUCCAAAGCUGCUGCAAUUUGAUCUUGGCUUGGCUGGGUUGAUGUAAAAAGCUUGGUGAAAUAGUUGCAAAACUCAUGCUCUACUUCGAUUGGCUCCUCAAUCCAUCUCCCGAAAUUAUCUUCAAUCCCCCAAAUUCUGUUUUUUUUUCUUCUUGCCGUCGCUUUGCCGUGAAAAAUUUUUGUGUUUUUGUCCCCCUCCUUGAGCCAAUCUGCUCUUGAACGUUGGUUCCAGUAGAUUUCUUCAUCCAUGAGAAUAUUUUGAAUUUGCUUCUCCAUCUUCCGAAUUUCCUCACCAUCUACAAAUUGCACCCUUCUUUGUUUUAACUCCCUCAGCUGGAACUUCAGCUUCUCCAAUUUUCUGUCACGCUUUCUAAAUUCCCUCUUGCUCCACCCCAACAGCCUACCCAUCGAAGUUUUUGUUGCUUGUCGAAAGGAUUGGGCUGAAUUUUCACUGCUCCAGUUUCUAUACAGCCCCCAUUCCUCCUUAAUUAUCUCUUUGCAUCCGUCAUACGAGCUCCACAUAUCCUCAUAAUGAAUUCACGAGGAAUUUCUACCCCUUUGGAUCAUACCCUCCCUUCUCUCUUGAACAACCAUCAGCACGGGACAAUGAUCCGAAGUCCAGGAGUCCAGAUUACUUGCUGCACAGUCCACAAAUCUGUCACUCCAAGCUUUAGAGCAAACAAAUAUGUCCAACCUUUCUUCCACAAAACCCUCCCCAUAUCUUCCAUUAGUCCAAGUAAAAGCAUACCCCCGAAACCCGACAUCCUUUAAGCCACAAUCUCUCAAGACUUCUCUAAACUCAUUAAUUAAAUUCACAUUUCUUUCAUUGCCGCCCCUCUUCUCAUCUGGAUGUAAAAUUUCAUUAAAGUCUCCACAACACAACCAAGGACUAGAAGAUAAAACCGCCAGCCGCCUGAGGAGCGUCCAAGUGUGCUUUUUCUGGCUUAUUUCCGGAUGCCCGUACACUCCUGUAAUUCGCAUUUGAUUCCUAUUUGGCAUUUGAGUUUCGGCAUCAAUGUGGUACUGGCUGUAUGAUUUGAUUUGCACCUCAAUAUCUGACUUCCAGAGCAUUGCUAUUCCGCAUCCUCUUCCAUUACCGUUUACCGCAAGGCAAUUCUCAAAGCUCAGCUUACUUGCAAUUACAUUCAUUUGCAUGGUUGAUACCUUUGUUUCACACAAAAACACCAGCUGAGCACCAUGCAACUGGAGGAUUUUUCUUAAGGCUUGAAAUGCUCGGGGAUUCCCCAAACCCCGAACAUUCCAGCUGAGGAUAUUCAUGGUUUUCGGCGGGGCUGGCCACCAGCCUCCGCCGAUAUCUCCAUGUUGUUUGCUUCCAUAACUACUACCUCUUCCAGCAUCAGCGGUUCCCACCCCUUCCAGCAUCAGCGGUUCCCACCCCAGCUGAAGGCUUACUGUUGAAGAACCAUGCAUCAGAUUUUUUGUCUCGAGCUUGUUUGAGCUAGAGAGUUUUGUUUUUUUCCUUGGGCUUUGCCCGAGUUUUUUCCCCUUUGGCCUUUUCCGAGUUUGUACCUCCAUUUCUUCCCCCCUUUACUUAGCUCUCUAAUUAAUCUCUUCCACUUCCUCUUAUUGGGCUGUAGCUGAGAGACUUCCGGCCCAUCAUUUUUUCCAGCUUCCUUUCAUGACUUAUUUGCAUUUUUUCCCUCUCUUUUAGGAUACCGUUUCCCGCUUGUGUGCCCAUUUUCCUUGGGACUGCUGCAUUGCCACUUUUCUCAGCUUGCUUGUGGCCGUCAUUUUGUUCUUUGUCCGCUGACUGUGUCCCUCAUUGCAUUAAUUGUUGCUCAGCUACUCCUCCUAUCACAUCAUUCUUAGCAUGCUCCAUGGUUUGCCCCAUUUCCUUCUCACUUUGUACCGACCCGUUUGUCUCUAUCGGGUUUUCUUUGUUUUGCCCUUUCUGCUGCUGGAAGCUGUGAUUUUCUGAGCUUGCUGAUUUUUCAUCCGAUUUUCCAGCCCCAUAGUUCCACCUUCCCUUGUUCUGAUUCCUCUUUGUGAAGCCCCCUACCGUAAUCGCUUUCAUCCAGCUCCCAUAUGGUAAAUCUUCUCUUGGUUGGUCUUGGUAUUUGCCACACUCUUUGUAUUGAUGUCCUAUGAUGCCGCAGCAAUAACAAAAAUCCGGCAAACGUUCAUAGACCACUGGCAUUGGGAUAUCAGUUUCACCUUCUCGCUUUAGAAAUAGAAUCCUCUCUAGCGGCAGUGUUAUAUUAAUUGAAACUCUUAUUCUGGCAUAUUCCCCAAUACAAUCUCCAUUAUCAUCAGUUUGGACCUCUUCAACUGAUCCUAGCUUCUCACCCAGCUCCCGGAGAAAAUCUUUAUCCAUACACGCUAGUGGAACAUUACGAAUCUGCACCCAAAAGGAUGUAUGAGUAAAGGAUUGUUUUGCGACUUCCCCAAUCCCCCUUGGCUCAGCGAGUACAAUCAAUGCCCUGUCGAAGUGCCAUGGUCCCCCUUUUAGCACUCUUUUCUUGUCUGCUUCCUCAGCAAAUUUAAACAUGAAGAUGUUGUUUCCCACGCUUUCGAUUUUGACUUCUUUGAAGGUCCUCCACACCUGCUGUAACGCAGCCUUUAGACCCUCUUUAUUUACUCCCUUCGCGAGCAUUACUUUACCCACUAAGCGGCCUGCCAUCAUUAGUUCUUUCUUUUUUUCCAAAUUCACCUCCAGUGUUAUUUUGGCUUUGUCUUCCUCUCUGAUAUUUAUUGCUUGACACUUGCGAAUUAGCUCUUCAGUGUCCAUGGUAAAUAACGCUUUACACGACCUUUGGCUCUUCGAAACUUUCUCCACCAGCACACCAAUCCCAACAGCUUGCUGGUUUGGAUUACUUUCCACUCACUAAGAGUGACCACAUGAGUCCUUACGACCCCUUAAUAUUUCCAUUCAAGCCUCUCUAAAGAGAGAGAGCUAUUCGAAGGAAAAAAUACUUCAAUUCACCUUUUGGCCUUUUUUAAAUGUUUUUAAACCGAAUGCAUUGUUUUCAAUUACUUGAACUGUCACAAACUAGACCAAAUUGAACUUUUUCAGUUUAUUGGUUCUGGACGUUUACUUUUAAUUCUCAAAUUAUUUUCUUAGCAUAGUCUACUAAGAAAGCAAACAAAAAAAAUAAAAAGGAAGUAGUUUGUUAAUGACUGCUCUGUAAUGUCUUUUUUUCAAGUUAAUUAUGUCUGAUCUUGAUCCCGAUCCUAUUGUUCAAUUAAAUCCUCAAACCUGAAGUAAUGUUAAUGCUGAAAACCCACAAACUCAUUCAAUUAGUGAAGGUAAAAAAUGAGACUCGGAAGGACAAUCUAGAAGCUCAUUGAAACAAACAUCUAGAGCUUGGGACCAUUUCACAAGGAGAACAAUUAAUGGAGAAAUGAAGGCAAUGUGUAAUCAUUGUGGCAAAGGUUUUGCCGAACAACAAUCGAGUGGAACUUCGCAUUUGCUAAACCAUAUUGAUAGGUGUCCUAAACGGAUACAAGAAUUAGCUCCAGCCCCAGCUUCUAGCCCUAGCCAAGCAUCUAAGGUCUAUAAGAAAAAAGAUGCUGAAACUUCAACAAUUUGAGCAUUUGAUCCCACUGCAUUUGAUAAAGCACUUGCUAGACAGAAAAUAGCAAGAAUGAUAAUCAUGCAUGAGCUUCCUUUGAGGUUUGUUGAGUAUGAAGGUUUUAGGGAUUUGAUGAGUUUUGUUCAGCCUUUGCUUGGUAAAAUUUGUAGGAAUACUGUUAAAAGAGACGUUUUUAAGCUGUUUGAUUUUGAAAAGGCUAAGACAAUAGCCUUGCUGGAGGAUAUUACUAUUAAAGUUUCCAUUACUACGGAUAUGUGGACAUCUAGCAAUCAAAAAAAGGGAUAUAUGGUUGUGACGACGCAUUUUAUUGACAAUUCAUGGACUCUACGAAAUCCGAUCUUAAGGUACCAAUUUAAAAGUUUAAUAAAUGUUAUUUAUAUUUUAUUAGAUGUACUUUAUUUUAUUUAUUCUCAUUCGUAAUUUUGUUUAUUCUUUUAUUGAAUUGUCUAGAUUUAUAUAUGUGCCUUCUCCACACACUGCUGAAGCACUUUCUAAUGAGUUGGCUAAGUGUUUGUUGGAUUGGAAUGUAGAUAGAAGGUUAUCUACAAUAACAGUUGAUAAUUGUUCCACUAAUGAUGCUAUGAUUCCCCUUUAGUUGGCUAAGUUUCCUUUUGGUUCAUUAUUAUUAAAUGGAAAAUUGUUCUAUAUGAGAUGGUGUGCUCACAUUUUAAAUUUAAUUGUUAAGGAUGGAUUAGAUCCAAUAGGUGAUGGGAUUGAAAAUGUUAGAAACAGUGUUAAUUACUGGAUAUCAUCACCUAAAAGGAUAGAGUAGUUUGAAGAUACGACUAACCGCCAAUUGAAGUUGAAUUGUUCUAAGAGUUUAGUGAUUGAUUGUAAAACUAGGUGGAAUUCAACAUAUUUGAUGCUCGAAGUUGCUUUGAUUUAUAACGAUGUUUUUACUCGUCUGAAGCAUCGUGAUAACCAAUAUAAUCACUUGCCUACUGAACUGGAGUGGGAGUUGGCAAGAGUAGUAUGUGAGCAUUUGAAACCCUUCUAUACCAUGACAGAGAUGUUUUCUGGUACUAAAUACCCAACAACUAACUUAUUUUUUUCCAAUAAUUUGUGAAAUUGGAUUAUCAAUGAAUGCUUGACUUAAUUCUUCUUGUGAUGUGAUAAAAAAAUAUGGUGAAAAUUAUGUUAGAAAAGUUUGGAAAAUAUUGGGAUGAAAUCCAUGGUGUGAUGGUUGUUGCUGUUGUAUUGGAUCCUAGAUACAAAAUGGUUCUAGUGGAUUAUUUCUAGGGAUGUCAAAUACAUCCGGAUCCAGCUCGGAUUUGGAAAAAUUCAGAUCCGGAUGCAAGUGCAUCCGGAAAACUGGAUAUCCGGAUUCGGAUAAAUUUUAUUUUAGAUUAAAAAUUAAAUUGAAAAUAUAUAUUAAAAAUUACAUGAAAAAUUAAAUAUAAAUUUUAUUUGUGGAUUUAUGAUGUUGUAUAUUAUUGAUGUUGACUUAUUAAUUGUUGAAUUAUGAUUGAAUUUUAUUUGAUAUUAUUAGGUAAAUUAUUGAAUUUAAUUUUCAAUUAAAUUUUAAAUUAAAAAUAUAUAUUAAAAAUUAAAAAUUAAAUUUUAUUUGUGGAUUUAUGAUUUUGUUGUAUCUUAUUCAUGUUGAAUUAUUAAUUUUGGAUUAUGAUUGAAUUUCAUUUGAUUUGAUUAGGUAAAUUAUUGAAUUUUAUUUUAAAUUAAACAUAUAUAUUAAAAAUGAAAUAAAAAAUAAAAUUUUAUUUGUAGAUUUAUGAGAUUAUUGUAUGUUAUUCAUGUUGAAUUAUUAAUUGUUGAAUUAUGAUUGGAUUUUAUUUGAUAUUAUUAGGUAAAUUAUUAAAAUUUUAAAUUAUUUAUUAAAUUAUUGAAUUUUAAUUUUUGCAAAUCCGAAUAUCCAGAAUAUCCGCCCGCAUCCGUUGCGGAUAUUACCCCCAUCCGGAUUUGCAUCUUUUUUUACGGAUCCGGAUGCGGAUGCAGAUUUAAAAACUUACAUCCGGAUCCGGAUGCACCUACAUCCGAAUCCAGAUCCGGAUUUUGCCAACCCUAAUUAUUUCUUUCCUCAUAUUUAUGGCAGUGAUGCAUCAACUCAUAUUGAUAGAAUCUGUACUCUUUGUUUUGACUUAUAUUCAGAAUAUAUAUAUAUAAAGAGUAUGGUUGGAUCGAAUUUGGUUGAAGGAUUUGGUGAGUCUAGUGUUGUUUGUAAUUCUAGUUCUAGUUCAGUUGUGAUGGGCAUGUGGGAUGUGCAAAAGUUUAAUGCAUUCAAAAGUCAACAUAUUUGUAAAUGAUCAGUUAAGUAGGAAAGAUACUUACUUGGAAGAGGAGGGUAUGACUAAUCCAGACUUCGAUAUUUUAAUGUGGUGGAAGGUGAAUAGAAGUAGAUAUCCUAUAUUGUAUGAGAUUGCUAGAGAUUUGCUACCUAUUCCGGUCUCUACAGUUGCUUCCGAGUCUGCUUUUAGUGCGGGAUGUCGAUUUUUAAGCCCACAUCAUAGUAGGCUUCAUCCAAGUAUAUUAGAGGCCUUAAUAUGUACUCAAAAUUGGAUAUGGGCUCAAUUGAAAGGUAUCAAUUGUUAACAUAAAUUAUUUUUUAUUGAUUUUGAUGAUAACAAACAUGAUUAAGAUUAAAUAAUCUUUUAAAAGCUCAUCAUAAUUUUCAUCUAUUUUGACAAGUCUCAUAAAGUUUUUUUAUAAAGAUUUGGAGACAAAACAGUCAUCUUGCAAAAUAGUUCACUGCAGCAGUUUUUGUGGUAAACGGCGAUCCGACAUGUGUAAUAAAUGGCUCGCCGAUUUCAAGCAGAAAGGGAGAUUAGCCUCUGGACGUAAACGGCGAUCAGACAUGUGUAAUAAACGGCUCGUCGAUUUCAAGCAGAAAUGGAGAUUAGCCUCUGGACGUAAACGGCGAACCGACAUGUGUGAUAAACGGCUCGCCGAUACCAACCAGUAGCCUCUGGACCUAAACGACGAUCCGACAUAUAGGUAACGGCGAUCCGACAAUUUGAAAAAUCAGCCCAACGGUCAUAUUGACCAGUCAAACGGCGAUCCGACAUCUAGCUAACGGCGAUCCGACAGUGUGCAGAAAGUCAAUAACGGCUAGUUUUCAGCUGCAGCUAUAAAUAAGCUCAUUCAAUUUCAAACAAAGAUUGAUCACAACACGACCAUUGAGCUAAUAUUCGAGAAUACAAUCUUCAUAGAGCUUAGAACACAUUCUUGCUUCAUCUAUUCAAAAAUUAAGCAUCAUUGUGCAAUCCUAUAUAUUGUGAGAGGCAAAUCAAUUUGUAAUCUUUUACUUUGAGUGAUUGUAAGUGUUGGGAUACACUUGGGUUAAGAGAUUGGGGAUAAUCUCUUGUUGUAAAGGUUUAUUGACACCUUGGAAGUCAAGUGUAAGCAUUUGAAGCCUUGGAGGCUUGCUUAGUGAAAUCCUCAAGCCCGGUGAGCUUGAAGGCGUGGACGUAGGCGGGGAUUGCCAAACCACGUAAAAAUUAUUGUGUUUGCUCUCUCUUCCCUUAUUCCUUUACUAUUGUGCUUUAUUGAAUUUAUUGUUUUUUAUUCCAUUAAGGCAUUAGAUUAAAUUGUUGUGUGAUUUGCUUAGCUUAAUUUUUAAAUCCCAAUUCACCCCCCUCUUGGGUUGCACACUUGUAUUUCAUUUGGUAUCAGAGCCUUGUUCUCUUGUUAAGACUUAAUCGUCUAGAGUAAAAGAUCCAUGGCAACCCUAAAUGACUCGACCUUUAGAGAAGGGCAAUCUACAACUAGACCACCAUUCUUUGAUGGAAAUGACUAUGCUUAUUGGAAAACUAGAAUGAGAAUCUACUUGCAAGCCUUAGAUUAUGAAAUUUGGGAAGUUGUUUGUGACGGUCCAUUCAUGCCUAUGUUUAAAGAUGAAGUAGGAGAUGAUAUUCCUAAACCAUCAAGUCAAUAGAGUGAGUUAGAAAAGAGAAAAAUGUCUCUAAACUCCAAGGCUAUGAAUGCUUUGUUUUGUGCCCUUGAUAAGAAAGAAUUCCAUAGAGUAUCUAGUUGUGAAAGUGCACAAGAGAUAUGGAACAAACUUGAAGUUGUCUAUGAAGGGACAAAUCAAGUAAAAGAGUCUAAAAUCAGUAGAUACACUCGUCAAUAUGAGUUAUUCCAAAUGGAACAAAAUGAAAAUGUGUAUUCUAUGUAUACUAGAUUCACGGACAUAGUGAACAUCCUAGGUGCCUUAGGGAAAAUCUUCUCAAAUAGUGAGAAAGUUAAGAAAAUCAUUAGGUCACUUCCAAAAGAAUGGAGACCUAAAAGAACCGUCAUUGAAGAGACCAAAGAUUUAAAUACUUUACCUCUUGAUGAUUUAAUUGGUUCUCUCAUUUCAUAUGAAGAGGAUUUAGUUGCAGAAAAAGGACAUGAGGAGAAGAAGAAAAGCAUUGCUCUAAAAUCUUCAAAAUAUGAGAGUGAUGGGGAGAGUAAAUCGGAUGAUGAAGAGCUAGCCAUGCUAGCAAGGAGGUUCAGAAAAUUCUUCAAGAAAACCGGAGAGCGAAGAAAUUUCAGAAACUUCAAGAACCAUAGGGAGAAGAAGGAGGCAAUCACAUGCUAUGAAUGCAAGAAGCCUGGACAUAUAAGAUCGGAGUGCCCACUUAUCAACAAACUCAAGAAGAAAGCAAUGGUUGCAACUUGGGAUGAUAGUGAGGAAGAAUCAAGUGAUGAAGAAGGAUCGCAAGAAGUAUCAAACCUAGCACUCAUGGCAAUAGGAGGGAAUGAUGAUCUCAAUGAGGUAAGUGAUCCCACCUAUGAUGAAUUGUAUGAUGCUUUUAAAGAUUUGCAUAAUGAGUUGAUGAAGAUUGGUAAAAAGAAUGUAUGUCUUAAAAAGGAAAUGACAAAGCUUAAAAAUGAAAAUGAAUCUCUAAAUGCAAGAAUUGUUUGCCUAGAAGUAGGAAACAAAACAUUGCAUGAUGAAAUUGCAUUAUCAAAUGAAAAACCUAGCAUCUUACAUGAGCAUUUAGAAUCACACAUAGAUGAGUUGAAAAAUGAGAACGAAAUGCUCAAGAAAAAGAGUAAUGAAUUGAAUGAAAUUGUUUUAAAAUUUACAAAUGGGCAAAAGAUGUUGGAUAAUAUGCUUAACUCACAAAAAUGUGUUUUUGACAAAGAAGGACUAGGAUAAAAGCCUAACUUGAAGCAAAAAUAUUAUAAGAAUUAUUUUGUUAAAGCUACCUCCACAAAUGAUCAUAAGAUUGUAUGUCAUUAUUGUAAUCAAAAUGGUCACAUGAAAUAUAGAUGUCCCGUGAAAAGGAAUGCAUAUUAUGGUGUCAAAUACAUUUGGGUUCCAAAAGGAACCGUUGCUAACUCUCAAGGACCCAAAAAGCUUUGGGUACCUAAAACUUGAGAUUUUUUCUUGUAGGGCUUGAAGAAGAAGAAAACUAAAUGGUACUUGGACAGCGGUUGUUCAAGGCACAUGACCGGAAACUAUGCAUGGUUCUCAAGCUUCACCAAAAUUUAAAAUGGUGGAGACGUAUCUUUUGGAGACAACUCAAAAGGAAAAAUUCUUGGAAUUGGAAAUGUUGGUAAAGUCUCUUCAACUCUAAUUGAGAAUGUAUGUUUGGUUGAGAACUUGAAACACAACUUAAUUAGCAUUAGUCAAUUAUGUGACAAAGGUUAUAAAGUUAUCUUUGAUAAAUUUAGUUGUGUUAUUGAGAACUCAUGUGAUGGCAAAACCUUAUUUGUUGGGAAUAGAUGUGGUAAUGUUUAUAUCAUUGACAUAGAAUGUGCAUCUGCUCUUGAUAAAUGUUUUUUGGCAUUGCAUGAUGAUUGUUGGUUAUGGCAUAGAAGGUUAGAACAUGGAAGUAUGGAUUUGAUUUCAAAAAUUUUGAAAGAUGAUUUAGUUAAAGGUCUUCUGAAAAUUGGUUUUCAAAAGGAUAAGAUUUGUGAAGCUUGUCAAUUUGGAAAACAAAUUAAAACUUCUUUCAAGAAUAAAAACCAUAUUUCUACUUCAAAACCACUUGAACUUCUUCACAUAGAUCUUUUUGGGCCAUCUAGAUAUGCGAGUCUAAAUGGCAAAUAUUAUGCAUUUGUGAUAGUGGAUGAUUAUUCUAGAUAUACGUGGGUAUUAUUCUUAGCCAAUAAGGAUGAUGCUCUUGAUGCUUUUAAAGUGCUUUGUAAGAAAUUACAAAAUGAAAAAGGGCAUGGUAUUGUAUGCAUUAGGAGUGAUCAUGGAGGAAAAUUUGAAAAUCAUGCAUUUAAGAUUUUUUGCAAUAAUCUAGGCAUUGAGCAUCAAUUUUCAUCACUUAGAACUCCACAACAAAAUGAAGUUGUUGAGAGAAAGAAUAGGCUAUUUAAGAAAUGGCUAGGACCAUGCUAAAUGAAAAUGCAUUACCAAAAUAUUUUUGGGCCGAAGCCGUCAACACCACUUGUUAUGUUUUAAAUCGGGUGUUGAUUAGACCUAAUCUUAAUAAAACUCCCUAUGAGCUUUGGAAAGAUAGAAAACCCAACAUUGGAUAUUUCAAAGUUUUUGGAUGCAAAUGUUUUAUUUUAAACACAAAAGAUAAUCUUGGUAAAUUUGAUCCAAAAUCUGAUGUUGGCAUCUUUCUUGGGUAUUCAAACUCAAGUAAAGCUUAUAGAGUUUAUAAUAAAAGAACUUUAGUUGUGGAUGAGUCCAUGCAUGUUACGUUUGAUGAAUCUAACCCCUCCUCUGCGGAGAAAGGAGUUGCUAAUGAUGAUGCAGAUGGAGAGUUACAAGAAGAAUCAUCAAAAGAGAAUCAAGAGAAUGCACCACAAGAAAAUCAAGAGGAUAGACAAGAAGAACAAAUAAAUAUGGAGCUGGAACAACAAAAUGGUAUUUCUCAAACACUCCCCAAGGAGUGGAGGUAUGUCUCUUCUCACCCUAAAGAUGUAAUUUUAGGAGAUCCCUCACGAGGUGUUACAACUAGAUCAUCACUUAGGAAUACUUGUGAGCAUAAUGCAUUCAUUUCUCAAAUUGAACCUAAAUCCUUUGAGGAUGCGGAAAAUGAUGAAUCUUGGAUUAUGGCAAUGCAAGAGGAAUUAAAUCAAUUUGAAAGAAACAAUGUGUGGGAAUUAGUUCCUAAACUGGAACAUCAAUCCGUCAUAUGUACUAAAUGGAUUUUUAGAAAUAAGAUGGAUGAAUCCGGUGUGGUUGUAAGGAAUAAAGCUAGAUUAGUAGCUCAAGGUUACAACCAAGAAGAAGGAAUUGAUUUUGAUGAAACUUUUGCACCCGUUGCUAGACUAGAAUCAAUUAGAAUGUUGUUGGCAUUUGCAUGUCAUAAAGAUUUUAUCUUAUUUCAAAUGGAUGUGAAAAGUACUUUCUUAAAUGGGUAUAUUAUGGAAGAAGUGUAUGUAAAACAACCCCCUGGUUUUGAAAAUGAAAAGUUUCCAAAUCACGUUUAUAAGUUGCUUAAAGCCUUGUAUAGAUUAAAACAAGCACCUAGAGCAUGGUAUGAUAGACUUAAGAAUUUCCUGUUGGUAAAUGAUUUUUCAAUGGGUAAAGCGGAUACUACUCUAUUUGUUAAGCAUAAGAACCAAGAUAUACUUAUUGUUCAAAUUUAUGUUGAUGAUAUUAUUUUUGGUUCUACUAAUGAAUUGUUGUGUAAAGAUUUUUCAUCGUGUAUGAGCAAAGAAUUUGAGAUGAGUAUGAUGGAUGAGUUGAAGUACUUCCUUGUACUUCAAAUCAAACAAAACUAGGAAGGAAUUUUCAUAAAUCAAGCCAAGUACGUAAAAGAUCUACUCAAACGAUUCAGCAUUGAUGACUCAAAGACCAAAAAUACACCAAUGAGCACAACAACCAAGCUGGACAAAGAUGAAAAAGGCAAAGAAGUGGAUAUCAAAAUGUAUCGAGGUAUGAUCGGAUCCCUACUUUAUUUGACUGCAAGUAGACCCGAUAUCAUGUUUAGUGUAUGUUUGUGUGCAAGAUUUCAGUCUUGUCCCAAGGAAUCUCAUUUGCUUGCUGUUAAAAGAAUUUUCCAUUAUUUGAGUGGAACCAUAGAUAUUUGCCUUUGGUAUCCUAGGGGAACUCAUAUAGAUUUAACAUGUUAUUCGGAUGCGGACUUUGCCGGUUAUAAAGUGGAUAGGAAGAGCACUAGUGGUACUUGCUAUAUUCUAGGACACUCUCUUGUUUCAUGGUUUAGCAAGAAACAAAAUUCUGUCGCACUUUCAACUACCGAGGCUGAAUAUAUAGCUGCCGAAAGUUGUUGUGCACAAGCACUUUGGAUGAAACAAACACUUAGAGAUUAUGGCAUUAAUCUUGAACAAAUUCCUAUUAAGUGUGAUAAUACUAGUGCUAUUAAUCUUUCAAAGAAUCCCAUUCAACACUCUCGAACCAAGCAUAUAGAAAUAAGACAUCAUUUCUUGAGAGAUCAUGUUCAAAAGAGAGACAUUGCAUUAGAGUUUAUUUCUACGGGAAAACAACUUGCCGAUAUUUUUACAAAACCACUUUGCGAAGAACAAUUUUCCAAAAUUCGGCAUGAACUUGGGAUGAUGAAAUUUUCACAUUAACAUCUUUAUUCAUGCUAUUGAGUCUAUUAACAUUGAUUGAUCUAUGCCUUGAUGCUUUAAUAUCUAUGGAAUGCUCAAUCGUAAUAUACAUGUGAUGUGUAUGGACAUUUGAAAAUGUAUGAAUUAAUUGUUGCAAUACAUAUUUAUAUUCAUGAAUUAUGCAUUGAACUGGCACUCAAAUCAUUUUGGAUCAAUAAAAUGAUCUUGAAAUGUAUUAAUAAGUAGCCAAAUAUCAAAAUACAUGUGCGAAAUCAUAAGUUGUAGAAAACGGAUUGCCGUUAUUUCAAUAAACGGCUAACCGUUUUGGGCAGAAACAAUGGAAAGUUUUCUGGGCGCUAUCGGUUCGCCGAUAACUAUCUAUCGGCUCGCCGUCCUGAUACAAAAUUUUGAGGAGACUCCCUGGACCCUAUCGGCUAGCCGUUAUGUAUAUAAACGGCUCGCCGUUUUGAUGAAAUUUUUUUGGAGGACUCUGUCGGCUCGCCGUUUUCUCUAUAACGGCUCGCCGUUAUCACGCAUUAAUUGAACAGUCCUUCGUCUUCUUCCUCAUUUCGGUUUCUCUUUCUCUCUCUCUCUCACUUCAACCCGCGACUGUACCAGUUCUCCCCUCUCAAAUCCAUCACUUUUCUUGUCAUUUUUCACCAAAUUACAGCAUUACAAACCAUUUCUAUCAUCUCUAGCACCUUUUAACCGAUUCAAAUCCUUCUUUUUCUUCAAAUUUUGAAAAAUCUCAUCUUGAAACCCUAAAACCAGCCGAAUCUCAUUUGUUCAUUUUGACCCAAAUUUCUUCGUUUUUCCAACUACAUUUCCACCCACAAUCACUAUCUCACACUUCGUUUCCACCGAUUUUUUUUAUCUCAUCUAUGGCGGAACGACCCCAAAGGCGUGCUCGAACCAAGCACACUGCUCCGCGAUGUUCUAGUCCCCCCAGGUCUCCUCCUCAAGACUUCGAGAGUCUUCAUUUUUUCGAUGCCACCUCUGCUCAGCGAUUUCGUGAGAAAUUCAUGGGUAAACCCGUAACUCCCUCAUUUUCUCUUAACAUCUCAGAGUUUUCGGAUAUUACUGUUUGUGGUCACUCCAUUGCUCACAUGCUUAGUCAUUGGAAGCAAGCUUUAAGUAUUGAAGAACCGUUUUAUGAAAAUCUAGUUCGAGUCUUUUAUUCUAACAUAGAACUCCCCUCUGCUCGUCGUGACAAGCUUCAUACUUAUGUAGGAGGAAUUCGCAUUGAACUUGAUGAACCUGAAUUAUGUAGUAUUCUAGGAAUCGCUUAUGGAGGGUUAGAUUUGUACACUGCUAGGAAAGAACUAUCUUUUAGUAACUUCCUUCAUGUGGAUGGUGUACGGAACAUUUGUCGUCGUCGGGAUCUUUCAGAUGACAUCUGCUCUCUGUCCUUUAGGUCUCAACUCCUCCCUUUUCAGAUUCGAAUACUUCAUAUUAUUCUCCAACACAUGGUCACUCCUAGACAGGGUCACACUGAUGAGGUCACUAGGCUUGAUAUUGGUCUAUUGGAUUCUCUUAUCCGUAGACGCCAUGUGAGCUUAUCCUACACUAUUCUGAGUCAUAUGUUGUCCACUCCUAAAGUCUCCAAUCGAUCUCUUCCUUAUGGCAGCAUCAUUACUAAAAUCUUGAACCACUUUCGAGUUCCUAUCAUUGAGCCUGUUUUUCUCGAGACUCGUAAGCUCGGACGAGAUAUUAUUUCUGCCAUCGGAUUCUUUAAGAAGCGUGGGAAAUGGGAAAAGACCACAUCCUCUAAAAAUGAAGACACACUGCUUGCACCAGAGGAUAAUCGCAUGUUGAAUGACGUCUACUCCGACGAUGAGCUACCUGAUUUCCGUCUUGGGGCUAGACCGCGUGUUCCACGCCGAGUAGCUGCACCAGCAGCACCUGCAGCGCCAGCAGCACCUGCAGCACCAGCAGCAGCUGCAUCUCAGGAUGACGAGCCUACCGAGACUGCCGUCCCUACUGCAGCAUCGGCUGUUCCUGAGGAUCGCUUCCAGCAGCUUCUCGACCAAGUGGAUGCUCUGUCCGAGCAGCAGCAGCAGCUUCGAUCUGAUUUUGCAACCUUUCGGGAGCAAAUUUCAGAUCAGCAGAUGGAGUUACUUGCGGGCCAGCGUCGCAUUCUCGGCUACUUUGGUUAUGACCCCAGCAGCUCGUCUUCACAACCCCCAUCUUAGCUUUUCUGCCCCUCUGAUAUUCGCACAGACAUUUCUCAUUUCAUGUUAUUUGCCUUAUGCGUAUGAUGUUAUUUAUUUUGUGUUUAUGCUUCUGAUAUUUCAUGUUGGACAUGUGCUCUUGAUUUAUGCUUGAGUUGGCUUUGGUGCUAUAUUGUUUAUCUUGCUAAUUAUGGAAGUGUGUAAUUGUUGGUCUGGAGAUUGGUUGAUAUGGUGGCAUAUUUAUAUGGAAGUGUUUUUGUUUAACUAUGUGUAUUGUUAAGGACAUGCUCAUAUUUCAGGGGAGAUUCUGCCAAAAUUUUUCCAACCAUCAGUUAUUCCUCGCGCUUAUUUCUUUUUGAUGAUGAAGGGGGAGAUAAUUGGCAUUGGCAUUAUUUUUUUUUCUUUUCUUUCUUCCAAUCAAUCUGUUUUAAACUUGUUUGAGAUUAAAAUUAAAUAAACUCUUUUUUAAGGGAAGUUAACAAGUUUUUCAAAAUCUCACAUAGAGGGAGCAUAUAUUUAGGGGGAGCAAAAUUGCACAAGUAUUUUCUUGAAAAGUUUGUCAUCAUCAAAAAAGGGGAGAUUGUUAACAUAAAUUAUUCUUUAUUGAUUUUGAUGAUAAUAAACAUGAUUAAGAUUAAUUAAUCUUUUAAAAGCUCAUCAUAAUUUUCAUCUAUUUUGACAAGUUUCAUAAAGUUUUUUUAUAAAGAUUUGGAGACAAAACAGUCAUCUUGCAAAAUAGUUCACUGCAGCAGUUUUUGUGGUAAACGGCGAUCCGACAUGUGUAAUAAACGGCUCGCCAAUUUCAAGCAGAAAGGGAGAUUAGCCUCUGGACGUAAACGACGAUCCGACAUGUGUAAUAAACGGCUCGCCGAUUUCAAGCAGAAAUGGAGAUUAGCCUCUGGACGUAAAUGACGAACCGACAUGUGUGAUAAACGGCUCGCCGAUACCAACCAGUAGCCUCUGGACCUAAACGGCGAUCCGACAUAUAGGUAACGGCGAUCCGACAAUUUAAAAAAUCAGCCCAACGGUCAUAUUGACCAGUCAAACGGCGAUCCGACAUCUAGCUAACGGCGAUCCGACAGUGUGCAGAAAGUCAAUAACGGCUAGUUUUCAGCUGUAGCUAUAAAUAAGCUCAUUCAAAUUCAAACAAAGAUUGAUCACAACACGACCAUUGAGCUAAUAUUCGAGAAUACAAUCUUCAUAGAGCUUAGAACACAUUCUUGCUUCAUCUAUUCAAAAAUUAAGCAUCAUUGUGUAAUCCUAUAUAUUGUGAGAGGCAAAUCAAUUUGUAAUCUUUUACUUUGAGUAAUUGUAAGUGUUGGGAUACACUUGGGUUAAGAGAUUGGGGAUAAUCUCUUGUUGUAAAGGUUUAUUGACACCUUGGAAGUCAAGUGUAAGCAUUUGAAGCCUUGGAGACUUGCUUAGUGAAAUCCUCAAGCCCGGUGAGCUUGGAGGCGUGGACGUAGGCGGGGAUUGCCGAACCACGUAAAAAUUAUUGUGUUUGCUCUCUCUUCCCUUACUCCUUUACUAUUGUGCUUUAUUGAAUUUAUUGUUUUUUAUUCCAUUAAGGCAUUAGAUUAAAUUGUUGUGUGAUUUGCUUAGCUUAAUUUUUAAAUCCCAAUUCACCCCCCCUCUUGGGUUGCACACUUGUAUUUCAUCAAUUUCAGCUCACUUUUAUUCGAUUUUGAUAGUAUUUGUUUUCUUUAUAUUUUACAUUUUAUUUUUCAAAUAGGUGGAAUUCCUAGAGAUAAGGUGAUGAAUAUGGAAGAAAUGAAUGGAGAAGUGACUGAUAAUGAUGAUGAAGAGGAGACAUAGCCAUGUUCUGAAUAGUGUUUAUUUUUCUUUUUUUGGUAUGUGCUUGAUGCCUAUUGUGAUGCUCAAUUAUGAAUGAUCAUGGUCAUAAAUACUACAAAUUAUUUACUUGUUUAAUGCUUUGCUUUAAUUGGCAGAUUAAUGAUGAUGGUCUGGUUGGAGAUUUUAGAAGAAUGAUUUUUUAGUAUUUAGUUUGAAAUUAAUUUGUAAUUUCAUAUUAUAAUUUCUUUUUUUUAAUUCUUAGUUUUGAUAUUUAUUAUUUGAGAUGUUUUGUAAUUUCAUAUUAUGAGUUGAUAUUGAAAUCUAAUACUGGUUUUAACUA